rnacentral:rRNA from 1 species
GACGAACGCUGGCGGCGUGCUUAACACAUGCAAGUCGAGCGAGGCCCUUCCUUCGGGAAGGUGCCCUAGCGGCGAACGGGUGAGUAACACGUGGGCAACCUGCCCCUAGCACUGGGAUAACCCCGGGAACGGGGCUAAUACCGGAUACGACCUCGAAGGGCAUCUUUCGAGGUGGAAAAAUUUAUUGGCUAGGGGAUGGGCCCGNGGCCUAUCAGCUUGUGNGGGGUAACGCCACAAGGCGUCGACGGGUAGCCGGCCUGAGAGGGCGACCGGCCACACUGGGA